rnacentral:rRNA from 1 species
GACAGAGGGUGCGAGCGUUAAUCGGAAUUAUUGGGCGUAAAGCGUACGUAGGCGGAUAUUUAAGUCAGGUGUAAGCCCACGGCUCAACCGUGGAAUUGCGUUUGAAACUAUUCAGCUUGAGUACAGGAGAGGAAGGCGGAAUUCCCAGUGUAGCGGUGAAAUGCAUUGAUAUUGGGAAGAACACCGGUGGCGAAGGCGGCCUUCUGGUCUGUUACUGACGCUGAGAUACGAAAGCCAGGGGAGCAAAGGGG